GAUGAACGCUAGCGACAGGCUUAACACAUGCAAGUCGAGGGGCAGCACGGGAGUAGCAAUACAACUGGUCGCGACCGGCGCACGGGUGAGUAACGCGUAUGCAACCUACCUAUCAGAGGGGAAUAACCCGGCGAAAGUGGGACUAAUACCGCAUAAAACAGGGGCACCGCAUGGUGAUAGUUGCUAAAGAAAUUCGCUGGUAGAUGGGCAUGCAUUCCAUUAGGUAGUUGGUGAGGUAACGGCUCACCAAGCCGACGAUGGAUAGGGGAACUGAGAGGUUGGUCCCCCACACUGGUACUGAGACACGGACCAGACUCCUACGGGAGGCAGCAGUGAGGAAUAUUGGUCAAUGGGCGAGAGCCUGAACCAGCCAAGUCGCGUGAAGGAAGAAGGAUCUAUGGUUCGUAAACUUCUUUUGCAGGGGAAUAAAGUGCAGGACGUGUCCUGUUUUGUAUGUACCCUGAGAAUAAGGAUCGGCUAACUCCGUGCCAGCAGCCGCCGUAAUAC
rnacentral:rRNA from 1 species